CUCCAAAAAAGGUGACUUGUAUAUCUCAUACAGUAGGCUAUUGAGUGGUCCAUGGCCACUGAUGCUACACUGAUCUGGAUCAGCUGGUUUACCAGCAGGAAUGAUGGUUAUGAAAAUGGUUUCCCUAAAUAAGUGAAGGAAGUCACAUCUAUUGUUUCCGCUAAAAGGUGAAGGAGGUUUUGAGGAUACAGUGAUGCAGACUGGAAGACACUCUUACCUGAAGUUCCCUUCCACACACACAGUAGAAGAGCAUCAAGUAUGGAGUGAAGACUAGAUAGAAAAUGCCAGGGGUGAGACCAUUUUCCCAUUGCGAGUGACAAUGGAUUGGCUGGGGACAGACAGAAAGCAAGUCCUGGCUCUGAUAUUUUUAGGAGGGAGCUGGAUUUUGCCGCUGUUUUUAUAAGGAUGGUGGAGUGGGGAACUAUUCUGCCUCUGAAUUGCCUCCUUUGUUUCUGCCUGAUUGAUUUCCUGGAAUUCUUACAUAACUGGGUUGCCACUUAGAAAAAAAAGAAUAAGCAGCACCUGUGUAAUUGAAGUCAGCAGUGCCGGUAAAGGAAGAUCUGCAAACAGGAGGCUGCUUUCUUAGAAACCCAUCAGUUUCCAGUUUAUGUGUAGUUAAAGGCAUUAAACUUUACCGUCUGGCAGCCUGAA